rnacentral:rRNA from 1 species
AAUGAACGUUGGCGGCGUGGAUUAGGCAUGCAAGUCGAGCGAGAAGGUUUCCUUUGCUUGCAUUGGAAACUGGAAAGCGGCGAAAGGGAGAGUAACGCGUAGGACACCUACCCUCAGGUCUGGGAUAGCGGCGGGAAACUGCCGGUAAUACUGGAUAACGUCCCCGGACCAAAGGUGAGAUUCCGCCUGAGGAUGGUCCUGCGUCCUAUUAGCUUGUUGGCGAGGUAAUGGCUCACCAAGGCAAUGAUGGGUAGCGGGCGUGAGAGCGUGGCCCGUCUCACUGGGACUGAGACACUGCCCAGACACCUACGGGUGGCUGCAGUCGAGAAUCUUCCGCAAUGGACGCAAGUCUGACGGAGCGACGCCGCGUGCGGGAUGAAGGCCUUCGGGUUGUAACCGCUGUCAGUGGGGUGGAAAUCUUUAUGGGGUUCUCUCCAUAAGUUGACCUAACCGCAGAGGAAGUCCGGGCUAAGUACGUGCCAGCAGCCGCGAUAAU